GGGUCUUCAAGAUUAGUAGAGCUCAACGAUUAUAUUCGUCACCUUCACAAGAAAGGGAAGCUUGAGGUGCUCAGCUUUUGUGAGACCAAAGUAACUCCAAUAGUUGAAGGUUAUGGUGGAUGGGCCUUUCGAGUGGAAAUUGUCCCUAUUGAAUCAGCAUAUCCUGGUUUUGGUGAGCUGGUGGUUCUGGAGUCAAAGGAUCAUGUAAAUUCCUGCAAACCUGUGAGCCGCAUUGACCCUUCUUACAAGGAGACAUUAGAAUUCUUGCGGAAAUUAAAAGUUAACUAUACCUGAGACGUUUUAGAUAGAGUUCCUGUAAAUACUUGUACAAGCUCGAGGAUUAAAGACUUGAUAGCUUAUACGUGCAUGUUUGGGAAGCUCUAGACGUCAAACAGGCGCCUGACGCUUCAAUUUUGGGAUCAUGAGCGGAGCAGCUUUCCUGCAAGUCUUCUAUUAGAUUUGGGCUUGCGAACUUGUUUAUUUUCUAUUACUCUCCUGUGUAUUUUACCUUUAGGCAAGCUUGCUGCUAGCUCCUGGGACUUUGUAUUUUACUUUCCUCUAUAUUACACUCCUUAAUUUUUCUUCUUA